GACGUAGGGUGCAAGCGUUGUCCGGAUUUAUUGGGCGUAAAGAGCUCGUAGGCGGCUUGUUGCGUCGACUGUGAAAACCCGCGGCUUAACCGCGGGCUUGCAGUUGAUACGGGCAGGCUAGAGUUCGGUAGGGGAGACUGGAAUUCCUGGUGUAGCGGUGAAAUGCAUUGAGAUCGGAAAGAACACCAACGGCGAAAGCACUCUGCUGGGCCGACACUGACACUAAGAGACGAAACCUAGGGGAGCAAAUGGG
rnacentral:rRNA from 1 species